AAGAUUGCCCAUGCCCUCAGAGCUCCUCCGGACCAGCCAAGUCAUGCUCCUCUGGGGACCGGCCUCAGCAUCCCCUCGACGGCCUGGAGGGACCACAGCCCCGGCCAGAGGCGCAGGGCAGAGGACAUCCCUUCCGGAGGUUCUGCGGCGGAGGGCUGCCGACCUCUCCCCACGCGCCAGGUCACCUGCUCUGGGAGAAGCCAGUUGCCAUGUUGUAAGGACACUCAAGCAGCCCAUGGAAUGACUCACAUGCUGAAGAACUGAGCCCUCCCUCCUUCCAACAGCCAGGGAGGAACUAGGGCUUCUUGCCAAUAACCAUGUGAAGAAGCUUGGAAAUGGAUUCUCCCCCAAAUGAGUCUUCAGAUUACUUUAGACUAACAUCUUGACUGCAACCUCUAGAAAGACCCUGAGCCAGGAUCACCAAGCUCACAGAAGCUAAGAGUUAAUAAAUGUUUGAAUUAA
rnacentral:lncRNA from 1 species